rnacentral:rRNA from 1 species
UGGCGGACGGGUGAGUAACGCGUGAGCAAUCUGCCUUACACAAAGGGAUAGCCUCGGGAAACCGGGAUUAAUACCAUAUGAUAUCUACAAGCCGCAUGGUCUAUAGAUUAAAGAAUUUCGGUGUAAGAUGAGCUCGCGUCCCAUUAAUUAGUUGGUGAGGGUAACGGCCCACCAAGAUAGCGAUGGGUAGCCGAUCUAAGAGGAUGACCGGCCACAUUGGAACUGAGAAACGGUCCAAACUCCUACGGGAGGCAGCAGUGGGGAAUAUUGCACAAUGGGGGAAACCCUGAUGCAGCGACGCCGCGUGAGCGAUGAAGGCUUUCGAGUCGUAAAGCUCUGUCCUAUGGGAAGAUAAUGACGGUACCAUAGAAGAAAGCCCCGGCUAAUUACGUGCCAGCAGCCGCGGUAAUACGUAAGGGGCGAGCGUUGUCCGGAAUUAUUGGGCGUAAAGAGUGCGUAGGCGGCAAAUUAAGUCAGAUGUGAAAACUAAGGGCUCAACCCAUAGAUUGCAUCUGAAACUGAUAUGCUUGAGUCAAGGAGAGGAAAGUGGAAUUCCUAGUGUAGCGGUGGAAUGCGUAGAUAUUAGGAGGAAUACCGGUGGCGAAGGCGACUUUCUGGACUUGAACUGACGCUGAGGCACGAAAGCGUGGGGAGCAA